rfam:Schistosoma curassoni strain Dakar, Senegal genome assembly, scaffold: SCTD_scaffold0000486
AUCUAGGUGACAAGUUCCAAAUAGGACGAAACGCGUGUUCUAGAU